AUUUGCCAGCAGCUGCAACUAUGAAGCAUACGGCAUUACUUAUAAUCUGGGUUCUUACCCUCAGUAACUGUUAUGACUCACUUGCUGGGAGGUCUAACUUAGACUACUCACAUUCCUCUUUUGAUCUGCAAGGGGAUGUCCUUACCCAAAUGUUCAGGCGCUCAGCAGAUAGUGUCCAAAAGGGAAGAGAAAACCAUCGUA